rnacentral:sRNA from 1 species
CCCUUUGGGAGUAGGGGUGUGCGGCUGGCUUGUCCCGCCCCUGCCCCCGAGUGACAGAACCGUGGACAGCAACAUUUCCCACAGGACACGAAGUUUGUCGGCCCUUGCCUUGGCAGAGCUGAGUAAGAAAAAUCACCAAGAAUAUUAUUUUUGGUAUUUGGAAUUGAAUUUGCCAGGAAUGCAAGCACUGCUACCUAACUAAAGACCUUGGCUUUGGAAACAUCUUACCCCUUGGCAGCUCUCCAGAGUUUAGACUUGGCAGCAUCAAAGACACAACGCAAGGUAAACAGGAUUAUAAAAAAACUAAACCUAUUUUACGAGCAACCAAAUUAAAAGCAGAAGCAAAGAAAACAGCAAUAGGCAUAAAGGAAGUUGGCCUUGUACUUGCAGCUAUAUUGGCACUACUACUGGCUUUCUAUGCUUUCUUUUAUCUCAGACUCACCACGGAUGUUGACCCUGAUCUGGACCAAGAUGAAGAUUAGCUAAACAACAAUCAAUGCAUGAAAGAAAAAUAACUUUACGAAAGCACCUUUUGGGACCAAAACUUUCAAUACUGAAACUGUAACAUCUUUAAUUCUUUCUGCUAAUAUUUUCAGUUUGCAGACAUAUGAUUUUUAACAGUUGCAUAGGAUGUCAAGAAAAGAACCUUACCUAGCAAUGCAGUAUAGUAUGUGCUACUGGAUACUUUUAUAUAUCUUUCUGCUUUGACAGCCACCCUAUACAUGGUACAUUUAGAUGAAAUGGGAACCAGAUCCUAAAUUUUUCAAAUGUCAUUGCCAAUUUAUGUGUAUAAUUCCAUCACUUCCCGAUGACUAAGUCUAUUUUUGUUCUAUAUACAUCAUAAGUUAGUAUAUAUUCUUAUUUACAGAAACAUGCUCAAAUCACAUUCAGAAAGAACAAAAAGUCAUGGGAAAUUUUUUAUUUUACAACAAAGCCCUGCUUUCUUUCUGGACGUAUUUUACAUCAUUAGAGAGACUAUCUGCACAUACAUCUACCGUAAUCUUUUUCCUUCUUUGCCAACUGUUCAGUGCACAUGUGCUGCAUCAGAAAUGGCACCUGGAUGACAGAAGCUCAAAGAGUCACAUAUGUCUCUAAAAUAGAGUUCUUUUCCUCUUGGGCUGUCUGAACUGGUGUAAAUAGAAGCUCAGUUGAUCUUGGUUUUAAUUAACUUAUUACUCUAUUAAUAUAACCUUGGAAUUCUAUUCUAAUUAUGUUGUUCUGGCUGCUUGUAGUAUCAGUUUGCCCCUCUUGUUAGGGAGAUAUGUAACAAUCUGUCAUUUAAUUGAGCAGUCUUUUUCACAUAACAGUAAUAGCAAAAAUCCUACCUACUCAGAAUCAUCUUCUUAGGUUGUCUCCUAAAUCUGAACAAUACAGUUGUUUUAUAAAAUUCCAUUUUGUCUCUUGAGAUUUAAUCAAUUAGAACUCUUUAGGGAGAAAAUAAAUAAUAGAAGAAAAUAUAUGCCUCAUAUUUCAUAUGUAAUUAUCUGUUGAUAUAAUUUUUCAAUGUAUUUUGUAUUUGUGGGAGCAUAAUGACCUGUACAUUCAAUAUUUUUACUGGUAAUUCAAUUUUUAAAUAUGUUUUUACAAUGCUUGAACACAUAAACCUUAGAAAACUGGAAAAUACGUGUCCACAGAAAGAGUUAUUAGCUACUACCUUAUGUAAAGAUGCAUAGAAAAUGAAAUUGUUGGAAACAUGUGCACAAAGUGUUUUAUAUUAUAUACAUUGUAUUUAUGAAGAAUAAAUAAAAUAUUA